rnacentral:rRNA from 1 species
AUUGAACGCUGGCGGCAUGCUUUACACAUGCAAGUCGAACGGUAACAGGCCGCAAGGUGCUGACGAGUGGCGAACGGGUGAGUAAUGCAUCGGAAAGUGCCCAGUCGUGGGGGAUAACGCAGCGAAAGCUGCGCUAAUACCGCAUACGCACUAUGGAUGAAAGCGGGGGACAGUAAGGACUCGCGCGAUUGGAGCGGCCGAUGUCAGAUUCGGUAGUUGGUGGGGUAAAGGCUCACCAAGCCAACGAUCUGUAGCUGGGCUGAGAGGACGACCAGCCACACUGGGACUGAGACACGGCCCAGACUCCUACGGGAGGCAGCAGUGGGGAAUUUUGGACAAUGGGCGCAAGCCUGAUCCAGCAAUGCCGCGUGCAGGAAGAAGGCCUUCGGGUUGUAAACUGCUUUUGUACGGAACGAAACGGUCCUGGUUAAUACCCGGGGCUAAUGACGGUACCGUAAGAAUAAGCACCGGCUAACUACGUGCCAGCCGCCGCAGUAAAAC